AAUCGAGAUAAUUUCAUAAAGGUUAUAGGCCAUGAUGUAGCAUUCUUUUAAUGAUUGAAAUUGUUAACUGAUUGUAAAGACCAUCCAGAUAGAAUGGUGUAUGAAUGUAUGUAAAUCUUAACCCGAAAACUGGCUUGACGAAAUUGCCCAUGGCGAAGUUGGGUUUUGAAUGUAUUUCCCUUAGGUGACACGGAUUUGGAAAUACUGUUUUCAGAAUGUUAUUUUAUUUUUUUUGGUAUAAUCACCGGUAUUUAAAC